rnacentral:rRNA from 1 species
AAUAGAUACCCGGGUAGUCCUAGCCAUAAACGAUGAACGCUAGAUGUUGGUGGUAUCAACCCCGCCAGUGUCGUAGCUAACGCAUUAAGUGUUCCGCCUGGGGAGUACGGCCGCAAGGCUAAAACUCAAAGGAAUUGACGGGGGCCCGCACAAGCAGCGGAGCGUGGGGUUUAAUUCGACGCAACGCGAAGAACCUUACCAGGGCUUGACAUGACCAGGGAUCCGGCGGAAACGUCGGCGCCUCGCAAGAGGCCUGGCCACAGGUGUUGCAUGGCUGCCGUCAGCUCGUGUCGUGAGAUGUUGGGUUAAGUCCCGCAACGAGCGCAACCCUACUGUGUGUUGUAUCACUCACACGGGACUGCCGAGAGAAACUCGGAGGAAGGUGGGGACGACGUCAAGGUCAGGCAUGGCCCUUACGUCCUGGGCUACACCCACGCUACAAUGGCCGGUACAACGGGCUGCGAAACCGCGAGGUGGAGCUAAUCCCCGUAAAGCCGGUCUCAGUUCGGAUCGCAGGCUGAAACUGCCUGCGUGAACCGGAUUGC